GACGUAGGGUCCAAGCGUUGUCCGGAUUUACUGGGCGUAAAGGGCGCGUAGGCGGUCAGCACAAGUCAGUUGUGAAAUCUCCGAGCUUAACUCGGAAAGGUCAACUGAUACUGUGCGACUAGAGUGCAGAAGGGGCAACUGGAAUUCUCGGUGUAGCGGUGAAAUGCGUAGAUAUCGAGAGGAACACCUGCGGCGAAGGCGGGUUGCUGGGCUGACACUGACGCUGAGGCGCGAAAGCUAGGGGAGCGAACGGG
rnacentral:rRNA from 1 species